rnacentral:rRNA from 1 species
CAGCAGCCGCGGGAAUACAGAGGGUGCGAGCGUUAAUCGGAUUUACUGGGCGUAAAGCGUGCGCAGGCGGUUAUAUAAGACAGAUGUGAAAUCCCCGGGCUCAACCUGGGAACUGCAUUUGUGACUGUAUAGCUAGAGUACGGCAGAGGGGGAUGGAAUUCCGCGUGUAGCAGUGAAAUGCGUAGAUAUGCGGAGGAACACCGAUGGCGAAGGCAAUCCCCUGGGCCUGUACUGACGCUCAUGCACGAAAGCGUGGGGAGCAAACAGGAUUAGAGACCCCCGUAGUCCCUGUCUCUUAUAA